CCUACGGGAGGCAGCAGUGGGGAAUAUUGGACAAUGGGCGCAAGCCUGAUCCAGCAAUGCCGCGUGAGUGAUGAAGGCCCUAGGGUUGUAAAGCUCUUUUACCCGGGAAGAUAAUGACUGUACCGGGAGAAUAAGCCCCGGCUAACUCCGUGCCAGCAGCCGCGGUAAUACGGAGGGGGCUAGCGUUGUUCGGAAUUACUGGGCGUAAAGCGCACGUAGGCGGCUUUGUAAGUUAGAGGUGAAAGCCCGGGGCUCAACCCCGGAACUGCCUUUAAGACUGCAUCGCUUGAAUCCAGGAGAGGUGAGUGGAAUUCCGAGUGUAGAGGUGAAAUUCGUAGAUAUUCGGAAGAACACCAGUGGCGAAGGCGGCUCACUGAACCUGGUAUUGACGCUGAGGUGCGAAANC
rnacentral:rRNA from 1 species